ensembl:misc_RNA Y_RNA Y RNA
GGCGAUCUGAAUGCCAUGGUGUUUACAACUAAUUCAUCACAACCAGUUACAGAUUCCUUUGUUUCUUGUCCGCUCCCACUGCUUCACUCGACUAGCCUUAA